rnacentral:lncRNA from 1 species
ACUAAUGUUUUUGACCAAUUUGGCCUUCUAGAAGCUCACAUGUAUUUAAACUUAAUGUUUCUUCUAAACGUUAGAUCCACUCUAUCACAAGACUUUUUCACAGAAAAAAAGAAAAAAUAUCCUCAAAAUUCUUCUCCCUUACCCCCUCGUUUUCUCUCUGUUUUCUUGAUUUCUUAUUCAUUUCUCAACAAAAUAGAAAAUUUCCAUUUUUCAUCUUCUUCAAUGGAAAAAGUGAAUUUCAGAACAAAAGUCAUUAGCAGACACCUAAAUCAAGAAAAUCCAACACCCAUAAAUUCAACACUUCAAUCUUUCCCAUGUCUCAGUUACAAUCCACCUGAAUUUUCAGAACCAUCUUCUGUUUUUGACCUAAAAGAAAUGAGAAAACUUUUAGAUGGUCAUAAUUUGCAAGAAAGGGACUGGCUUUUUGGUCUAAUGUUGCAAAGCAAUCUUUUUAAUACGAAAAUAAGGGGCGGAAAAGUAUUUGUUCAACCUGAUUAUAACCAAUCUAAAGAACAACAAAGGGAAAUUACUAUGAGGAGAAUUGGCUAUCUUAUGCAAAAUGGUGUUUUUGAAAGGUGGCUAACUGGUAAAGGACCUGAAGAUGAGUUGAGGAAACUGGCUCUAUUGGAUGUGGUUGGAAUAUUUGAUCAUUCUCUUGCUAUCAAGAUUGGUGUCCAUUUUUUCCUGUGGUAUGUUUUUCUAUUUUUUCUUACUGAUAAAUUCAAAAAUAUUACUCCAACAGUUUCAAUUUAUGUAAAUAUAUUUGACGGAAUACGGAUUAAAAAAGAAAUAAAUUCGCAUAAAUUAUAAUACGUAUUAGGUAAGUAUAAGUAAACUUAAUAAACCAGUUGAUAAAUAUUAACUAGUAAGCUAAAUAUGUGUAACUGAUCAUUUAUCACAAGUUAAAAUUCACUAGUAGGGUAAAACUGUGUUUGCACUGUUAAUAUGACUUAAGAACUUUUUUCUGGAUUAAUUGGGGUCAAUUCAUAAUUUGAUUGCUCAACCUAUUUUCUUAUAAGAUAAGAUUGUUUUGGAAUAAGAAUAAGAAAAGCCUAAAUAUGUCAAAUUGCUAGUAGGGACAAUCUUGAUUAGUUUAAUUGCGUUACACAACUUAUUACUUAGUAUAUCAGGUAAGCAAAAUAUUUUUCUUUUAUCUUCCAUUUUGGUGCUCUGAACCCAUCAUACAAUUCUCAUUAGGAAAGGUUUUAAUCAUAGUAAGAGCUACAUUUAAAAUUUACGGGUUUGGGAUUUUAGUCCUUUAAAUGAAUGGAUUCUAAGUAAAGAAUUUAUAAAUGUUCAGUGAAUUUUUAAAGAUAAAUACAAUUGAAAAAAACAAUUAGGUUCGGCCGAACAUGUGUUUGAAGCAGGAGCGGAAGGGAUUCAUCCAAAGCUACUUCGCCAGAAAAUUACUCUGUAUAUGUAAGGCAAAAUUUGAUUUGUACAUCUAUAUUUUAUUUUUUGAAUCCCCGCGAUACAAACUCAAAAAUAUAGCUUAAUGAUUAAUAGAGUUCAAAAUGUAUUUUUGUUGCUUCAUUUUCUACCUACCACAAUUUCUUUCAAUUUUUUUUUAAUUUAGUCUUUUUUUUAAAUAUUUUAACGAAAAUUCUACUAUCGCCACUGAUAUAAAGCUCUGGCUCCACGCCCUGGUUUUAAUGCCCCCUUAUUUAAGAGGUUUUUUGGUAGUAGGUAAACAGAAUAUCAUUCUCCUUUUUGGUUGAUUCAUUCAAUGGUAAGAUAAAGUGAUAAAACCAAUCUUGAAUAAAGAAGAGAUAGAAAAUUACAGAAAAUCCUCAUCAGAUUACACAUAUCAAUAAAAAACAGAAACUGUCAGUAUUGUUCAAUGGGCACAUCACAUGGGAGAAAUAAUAAUUUCUUGUUAAAGCCAUUUACAAUGUUUAAUAUAAUUUGACAUUAAAAUACUUUCCCUAAAAAAAAGUAGACACAUCCCGACUCAAUAGCCUUUGAGGCCUAAAACCAAGACGUAAUAAGACGCUUUAAACUUAUUUAAUAAUUUUAAAUAUUUUUUUAAGUUUAUUCUUUUUACUUUUCGAAACUCAAUUUCAUCUUGAGUUCUUGAUAAUGUACCCAACAAUUUCAUUUUAAUAAUAUAACCAACCCCUUUAAUCUUUGUUGAAAGAUUACUAACAUUAUUAAGAUUUUAUUAAGUUUAAUUUUUAAAUUUUUUUUUUACAUGAUCAUCAACGUAACUCACUAUAUAACAUUACCUCCCAAAAUAAUAAUCAUGUAGAAAUUUAUAUUUACAACGUUUUAAUUUUUUCUUUUUACAUGAUCAUCAACGUAACUCACUAUAUAGCAUUACCUCCCAAAAUAAUAAUCAUAUAGAAUUUAUAUUUACAACGAUGAUAAAUAUUUUACGACAUAAUUAGCUUAAAGUAUGCCUAUAGAGAUCUUGCAAGAAAAUAUCUUACAAAGUUAGAAUUGUAAAUAAAAUUUAUUCAAGUUAAUGUAAGAACGAAUUAGAAAAUAACUACGAUUUAAAUGUUUUUCAUUUUCAUUUGAAUUUUCCUAACCAACUCUAAAAAAAGAGCACAUAAAAUAUAAAACUAUAUUAUUAACGAUUGGUGACAAAGUAGCAAAAUAUGGUUGAUUUUUUUUUUCUUAUUACUACUUAAUAAUAAAUAUUUAAAUUACAUAUAAAAAUAAUAAUUUUUUGUGCCUCUAAUUUUGUGAGGCCUAAAGCGACCGCUUUAAUGACUUGGGGGUUAAGCCACCUCUGGAUACCUGCAAUAUAGGUUGCCAAAUUAGUCUCAUUUUAUAUUCGGAUUUCGAGUCAACGAAUUGUUCUUUGGCCGUCAUUUUUUCAUAUCUUUUAAAUAUUUUAAAUUAUUGGUUACUGCGACCUAUAGUAUUUUUUUUGCAAAAAGUAUGUUAUUUUUUUGUUGAAAAAAAUGUAAAAAUUUCAUGAUCAAAUACACGGUUAAAAUUAAAAAUAAAAUAAAUUAAUUCUCGGAAAACAAAAAGUGUCAAAUAAAGUGGGAAAGAGAGAGUAAAUAGAGUAAGAAAGAUACAGACCUUUUAGAACUUGUACAAAGGAAAUAGAUCAAUUGGGUCCUGCCUUAACAGAUUUCAUAACUGACUAUAUCAGAACAAAGGCCAAAAAUAUUUGUAAUAUUAGCUUCUAAGUAGUAAAAGAUACUAUACUAUUACAAGAAUCCAAUAUUAAUUGCACUUCCUUAAAUAUUCUCUUUUUCAUCUCAGUUUUCUUGAUUUCCUAUACAAUUAAUCAUCUUUUCAAAUUUCUCAACAAAAUAGAAAAUUUCCAUUUUUCAUCUUCUUCAAUGGAAAAAGUGAAUUUCAGAACAAAAGUCAUUAGCAGACACCUAAAUCAAGAAAAUCCAACACCCAUAAAUUCAACACUUCAAUCUUUCCCAUGUCUCAGUUACAAUCCACCUGAAUUUUCAGAACCAUCUUCUGUUUUUGACCUAAAAGAAAUGAGAAAACUUUUAGAUGGUCAUAAUUUGCAAGAAAGGGACUGGCUUUUUGGUCUAAUGUUGCAAAGCAAUCUUUUUAAUACGAAAAUAAGGGGCGGAAAAGUAUUUGUUCAACCUGAUUAUAACCAAUCUAAAGAACAACAAAGGGAAAUUACUAUGAGGAGAAUUGGCUAUCUUAUGCAAAAUGGUGUUUUUGAAAGGUGGCUAACUGGUAAAGGACCUGAAGAUGAGUUGAGGAAAUUUGAUUUCGUAGAUGUUAUUGGCAUCUUUGAUCAUUCUCUUAAAAUCAAGCUCGGCGUCCAUUUUUUCUUAUGGUAUGUUUAUUCCCUAAGGGAUCGUUUGGUAUGUUGGAUAAUGGAUAAUAAACUUGGGAUUAAAUGGGGAAUUAUUUUAUCUUGCGUUUGGUUGAAUUUUUAAUUUAGGAUUAAAAAAUUAAUUUCACAAUUGGGUAUUAUUCUAUCCCACAUUAAGGGUGAGAUAGUAAUCUCGGGAUUGAUUAAUUCCGCGUUAGACACUAAAAUAAUAAGGAUGCCCUUCUUCAAGGCUUCACCCAAAGUAUUUUAAACAAUCAAUGGUUAAAAUUGAAAAUAAAAGUUUAUCUCAACUUAUCUAAUAUACACCAAAAUCCAAACACAUAUUUAUAUCAUAACCUGUGUAUCCCAUUUUUUUAGUCUAAUGAAUCGAACAUUUUCCAAUAAAAAUGUAUUUACUAAAUAAUUCUGUCAUUAUUUGAUUCCCAUAUGAUCAUCCUAUUAUUAUAAUCCCGUGAUAACUUGUUCCCCUACUAAAUAACCCUACAAGACAAGCGAGUAGUUCUCCAAUACUCCAAAUUUAAAUCUUCAUGGGGCCGUUUGUUGCUAGGGAUUAAGUGGGUUAUAAGAAUAUUUUUGUCUAAAUUAGGAGUAUUUUUUAAAAAACACUGUACUUAUUGAAGCACUAAGGGAAAAUUAAAGUAAUAAAUCAUUGCUUGUUUUCGUCAAAUGUAAACUAAAAUUGCCAAAAUGACUAAUAGGACAUGAGAGAUUACCAAAAUGAAAAGAAAAAAAAAAGUUACUCCCACAUGGCA